GGUUGGGAGCAGCAAGCACCGCAGCCCAUUUGAGGUAUGAUAAUCAGCUGAUUAGCUAGUGGAGCCCGUUUCCCUGAGGCUCUUUUGUGUGCAAAAUCCUCACACUCAAUUGACAUGUGGACAUCAUAAAGCUGAUGAAAUGCACUUGUAAUGAACAAGAGGGAGUCGCAUCUGCAGCCAUCUAAAUGAAGGACCCUUUCCUCUCACCAUGCUAAUUCAGAAAAUCUGCUCUUAACGUGUACUCCCUCUGGAUUCCAAAGCCAGGCACAUCUCCAUGAAUGCAUAUUCAAGGAGCGAAUUAGCCUCUGUGGCAAGUGAGUGCCCAGCCUGGCCAGACUGAUGCUAAUUUCAAGACAGAUUAUACAGCAUCAACCGUAGUAAUGAUCUGACAGUUCAUUGGUGACGAGUUUUGCAGUCGGGUUUGCUGUCUGGAUGGACACAGGUGCACAGAGAGCCAGCAAGACCUCUCAAAUAAGACCAAAGGCUGCUGUCAAACGAUUUCAGCCAAAAUAGCCCAAUGUAGGAGAAAAGAGAUAAUGCACUGAAAAAA
ensembl:lincRNA Gm28640 predicted gene 28640